UCAGAGUACUAUUUGUUUGUGGAAGAAUUUCGCAAGAAUCCUGGCAUCGCUUGGAUUCUGAAACCAGUCACAAGGCGAAGGAGUUUUCCUGUUCCGAAAAGUGAAGGAUAGUGUUGAUUGAAGAAGGUUGAAAGUUUGUCCUGAGGGUUUAUGUCCUAGUGACAUCUGUGAGUGCAAACCACCGUUACUGUGCCAGAAAUGGAUUUCUGUGUCUUAACGCCCAGUUGCUCCUUUUGUCUUCUCCCAGUACGUCCCACUGAAGGCCUGGUUAUACAGAGGUAUCCCACCUUAAUUUGAUGGCUUAGGAGACAGGAAAAUCCAUCACUUCUCUCUGUGAAAGUUCAGCAGAGUUCACGCUUGCUCUGAAUGAUCAAAAGCCCUUCCAGAGUGCGGGUACAGCACGCUGCCUUGGGUGAAGGCGCACUGAGGUUUGGAGACACGGUGACGUGAAGAGCUUCCUGCCAGCCGCGAGGCACAGUACUCACUCAGGCCAGUCACUCCUUCGUU